UGGGAACUGCGAGGGUGUCGAGGGCACCUUGAGAAGGAAGUUCUACCGGAGGAUACAGGAAGCUGUAAGAAAACCAAAUAAAGAUAUCUUGAAAACAAGAAAGAAGGUCUAAGAGGAUUCGAGAGCAAACUCCUAAAGAGAAGAGGCUGGGCUUUUAUGACAGUCGUGCAGCCAUAUUUUUGAAAUGGAACAGAUCAGUUUUCCCAACAUCCGACUCUUUAACACACGGCUCAUCCUUGACUGCAGGCGAGCAGCAAUCUUAACC
rnacentral:lncRNA from 1 species